CGGAAGUUGUUCUGAGUGACCUCCUCCACGGCAUUGCUUGGGUACUCGAAGGUCACUGCUGUCAGCAGUGGGUUGGCCACUUCCUGCUUCCCGCACGUUAUUCUGGAUGCUCCUGGGGUUAGUCUCCCCUGGACCCAGGGGUUUGGGAUGAGGGUGAGAAAAUAGUGAUUUGCUUGAAGAAUAUUUCUGGAACCUCAGAGCCGAGGGGCCUCAGUGACCCCCUCUCCCUGCCCAGAUCCCACAGCAAGCCCAGGUGCAGCCCCAGCCGCCUCCCCUGUGCAGCACGUCCUGGAGUCACGGGCAGGGCCCUCACCCACAGUGGGGUCGCCAUCGGUGAGCAGGAUGAUGAGUGAGACACUCCCUUCGGGCAGCCGCUCCUCCUGGUUGCUGCUGUCCAGCAACUGCACAGCCAUCAGCAUUGCAUCAUUGAUGUUGGUCCCUGAGGAACACGCACUCUCAAGUAUUUCAGAUGGUUUAUACUAAAAAGUUCAGACAUCAUAAACCUGACAACCAUCAAAAGAGGGAAGACUUCAAAAACAUGGAGUAAAAGGGAAGUAUAAUAACAAUGGCAGAAAUGGCUGGGUGUGGUGAAUCACGCCUGUAAUUCCAGCACUUUGGGAGGCUUAGGUGGGAGGAUCACUUGAGCCCAGGAAUUCAAGACCAGCCUGGGCAACCUUGUCUCUACUGGAAAAAAAAAAAAAAAAAUUAGCCAGGUGUGGUGGUGCACGCCUGUAGUCCCAGCUACUAGGGAGGCCGAGGCAGGAGUUUCUUUUGAACCUGGGAGUUUGACGGUGCAGUGAGCCAUGAUCAUACCAAAAUAUAACAACAAUAAUAAUGCCAGAAACUAGUGUGAAAGAAACUACUGCAAAUCUGCAUAAAACUGAGUUGUGAGCCUCCCAGCAGCAGAGGCAAAGAGGGAAACCCCACAGGGCAGCUCUUCUCAGAGACAAACCUUUUCUGCCUGGGAAAGGGAAUAGUUUCAGGGACAACACAACUAAAUCACGUGUUUUCUGUCUGUGCCGGUCCCUGGUGCACACUGCUAAGUAAGGGUGGUUCUUUUCCUGUUCUAAAAUACCCAAGCUCAGGCCCUUGGGGGUGGACAGACUUCUAGGCUGCUCUGCUCUUGCCUGAAGUCCACCCACCUG
rnacentral:lncRNA from 1 species